AUUGAACGCUGGCGGCAUGCCUUACACAUGCAAGUCGAACGGCAUCGCGGGAAAGCUUGCUUUCCUGGCGGCGAGUGGCGAACGGGUGAGUAACACAUCGGAACGUACCGGCUAGUGGGGGAUAACCCGUCGAAAGACGGGCUAAUACCGCAUACGCUCUUCGGAGGAAAGCAGGGGACCUUUAGGCCUUGCGCUAGUCGAGCGGCCGAUGUCCGAUUAGCUAGUUGGUGGGGUAAAGGCCUACCAAGGCGACGAUCGGUAGCGGGUCUGAGAGGACGAUCCGCCACACUGGGACUGAGACACGGCCCAGACUCCUACGGGAGGCAGCAGUGGGGAAUCUUGGACAAUGGGGGCAACCCUGAUCCAGCAAUGCCGCGUGGGUGAAGAAGGCCUUCGGGUUGUAAAGCCCUUUCGGCAGGGAAGAAAUCGGCGGGGCGAAUAACCCUGCUGGAUGACGGUACCUGCAGAAGAAGCACCGGCUAACUACGUG
rnacentral:rRNA from 1 species